rnacentral:rRNA from 1 species
GACAGAGGGUGCAAACGUUUGUUCGGAAUUACUGGGCGUAAAGCGCGUGUAGGCUGCUUCGCAAGUCGGCUGUGAAAACCCGGGGCUCAACCCCGGGCCUGCAGUCGAUACGGGCAGACUAGAGUGCGGUAGGGGAGACUGGAAUUCCUGGUGUAGCGGUGAAAUGCGCAGAUAUCAGGAGGAACACCGGUGGCGAAGGCGGGUCUCUGGGCCGUAACUGACGCUGAGGAGCGAAAGCGUGGGGAGCGAACAGG